rnacentral:rRNA from 1 species
GAUGAACGCUGGCGGCGUGCCUAAUACAUGCAAGUCGAGCGAACAGACGAGGAGCUUGCUCCUCUGACGUUAGCGGCGGACGGGUGAGUAACACGUGGAUAACCUACCUAUAAGACUGGGAUAACUUCGGGAAACCGGAGCUAAUACCGGAUAAUAUAUUGAACCGCAUGGUUCAAUAGUGAAAGACGGUUUUGCUGUCACUUAUAAAUGGAUCCGCCCCGCAUUAGCUAGUUGGUAAGGUAACGGCUUACCAAGGCAACGAUGCGUAGCCGACCUGAGAGGGUGAUCGGCCACACUGGAACUGAGACACGGUCCAGACUCCUACGGGAGGCAGCAGUAGGGAAUCUUCCGCAAUGGGCGAAAGCCUGACUGAGCAACGCCGCGUGAGUGAUGAAGGUCUUCGGAUCGUAAAACUCUGUUAUUAGGGAAGAACAAAUGUGUAAGUAACUAUGCACGUCUUGACGGUACCUAAUCAGAAAGCCACGGCUAACUACGUG